rnacentral:snRNA from 1 species
GAGCUCACUCAGCAACACACACACUAAAAUUGGAACAACGCACAGAAAACAACAUGGCCCCUGUGCACGAGUGACAUGCAAACUGUGGGCAUUCCAUUUUU